GAAACUAUUCCUGUGAGAAAGUGUAACUGUGCCCUCCGGACAACACUGCUUCACCCAUGAGAUGCAGACAACCUGUGUAACCUCUUCAAAUCCUGUCCUAUUCCUUUCCACAGCAACCGCAUUGGUUCCACGUAUCUCAGGAACAGGAUAUGCCUCUUAAUGCAGCAGAGAGAUGUUUUCCAAAGCCUGGAGACUGAAUGAGCUCCGCUUUGAAAGAGCUGUGUGGUAACUUGUAACCACUAAUAAGAACACUAACCACUGAUAAGAACAUUGUCCUUGUCGAGAAAGCAGAGAGAAAGAGUUAGACACUGGCCAGACAUGCUUGCAGAGAAUCAGAAUGCAACUACAGGCAGCUGCAGCCUAAAAUCCUGGUCAGAAGAUAAUGGGGAUGCAGGCCCCUGAUCAGAGGGGAGCUGAAAGCUAAAGGCCUGAGACCUGAGAGGGCAUUCCUUCAGAAGACCACAGACAGAAAUUAAAGAAGGAUCACAUAUCAGCUUGUACAACUCAGUGCAAAUUGGACUUGGAUCCAUUGAAACACAUAAAUGGGUACUGAACUUUGGAGCAUCUGAAUAGUUUCAUUGGCUUCAGUGGGACUACUCACACACUUGGAGUCAAGCAUAUGCUUAAGUCAAUUCCUGUAGAAGAUCUGCAGAAAGCUCCAAGAGCAGCAAAAUCAGCACUGAAUGCGAGUCCCAGCUGCAGAGAUGCUGCAUAGGACAACUUAGUCCCUGUCCUAUGUGCCAUAGAACAAUGAUAUGUGGCAACUCUGCAUAUCAUACCACUCAAGGGAUUUUGAAAGCAGGGGCAUCAGCAGCAAUUCCAUGAUUGCCAACUUCAAUUGGCGGAGAGUUCAAAGGCUGUGGCAGUUGCUGAAGUAGCAAUGUGAGCACCUCCACUGGUGCUAUACAGGUUAGGAAGGAACAAGAUUCUGUCCUCCCAGAUCCUCACAGAAAACGCCCAAAACAAAGCUUAUUUACUUACACUUUCCACAGGAAUGAACAUUUGGCCUACUGUCUAUCAGGAAGCCCAGUACUCUGCGCUCAGCUCUGCUAGCUCUCACAGCAUUUCUUUCUGAAACACUGAAAGAGUAGUGAGGCCUCUCAUGUUGCAAACCUGUUUUUUAUUGUUACACAAGUAUUUUGUGAAAAAUUAGAAAAUAAAUUGUUUUGGGAGAUAUAUCUCAAUGAUGUGAAUGCAGGCAGGCUGAUCCUUUUUUGUGGGUCAUUUUCAAUUUGGCCGCUACAGAGAGAGAAAUCAUAUAUAGGAGUCAGUACAAAAUAAUCCUGGGUUCUAUUUUUGGCAAGAACUAAACAACAGUGACUACAGUUAACCACGAUUAUCCAAAUUUCAAAUCUGACUUCGGGUUCCUUGCUCCUGUGUCUAUCACUCACACUGACACAAUUCUGAUUAUCCACAAUUAUUCAAUAUCCUUCAUUAGAUUUGAAUAGUUUAAGCUGAAUUGUUGUAUGCCUCUUCCCACACUUACCACAGCUCACCUACACAUCAUUUUGUGAAACUUCUAAAGAAAGGCCAGCUUUACAAUCUGAGAAACACUGUUUCAGGAAUAUUAAAAAGAGAAGUGGUGAGUGCAAGAAGAGAAUACUGAAACAAGGAGUGCCCCAAUGAAAAGGGUUGAGGCUCUUUUAGAACAUAAGCGUUGAGUGACAGGAUGUUCUGCUCCGCUGGAAUGUUAGUGCAUUUGACUAUCAGUGUGUUUUUGCACAGAAAAAAAAAAAUUAAAACAAGAAAACAUUUAAUCAAGACACCUGCAUAUCUGCAAAAAGUGAGACAGUAGAGAACUGCAGAUUCAGGACCUGAGUAAAGCAGAGGGUAAGUUUAACUAUGGUUCAGGUUCUGCACCUCACCACAAGAUAUUAAAGAAAGUUAAUAAAAAAAGGUGAAAAAAAGUUUGUAAAUUCUUUCAAGUUAAACAGGUCUGUGCAUAUCACCUGUGUCUGCAUUUCCAGAAAAUGGAAGACAAAAGAGGGACAUGAACUGAGUUGUUGAUAAUCAGGGGGGGUAACUGUGUUUUUGUGGAUACAGACUAACAACAAGGAGUCUGGUGGCACCUUAAAGACUAACAGAUUUAUUUGAGUAUAAGCUUUCAUGGGUAAAAAACCUCACUUCUUCAGAUGCAACAGAAGAAGUGACGUUUUUUAACCCACGAAAGCUUAUGCCCAAAUGAAUCUGUUAGUCUUUAAGGUGCCACCAGACUCCUUGUUAUUUGAGUUGUUAACGCCACAGUUGACAAAUAUUAAACUGAUAAGAACAGAUACAACUUUUAGAUAAUGUUUUCACCUCUUAGCUCAGAGAGAAAUGUUAUUAACAAGACUUGGGCAAACAAGGAAGGGAAAAUGAAGAAGAAAAACUGAGAGGAAGCAAACCUGUCUGAAUUCUACUAAAAACUGAUGCAAUGCACAGAGUAUGAAGCUUCUGGUACAUACAAUUUGAAGGAUCCAUUUUCAAAUGCAAUUUCUCUGUACAAUGUCAUAUGUGCCUUUUCUUUCUCCCUAAACUCCAGUCCAACUCUGACAUUUUACUCUUCCGCCCAUAUUAGAUAACAUGAAUACGGGCUAUUUAAAAUAACAAAACUAAAUUUUUUUGUAUGAUUGUUCUAUUCCUUAAAUCUUUUUCAGCAGCUGAGUGUAUCAGGAAGUCUUUCUGCACAAGAUGUAAGGGUUCAAUAAAGUAUAUUAGGGCUGUUAAGUGAUUAAAAAUUAAUUGUGAUUAAUUGCACUAUUAAACAAUAAUAGAAUACCAUUUAUUUAAAUAUUUGUGAUGUUUUCUACAUUUUCAAAUAUAUUGAUUUCAAUUACAAUACAGACUACAAAGUGUACAGUGUUCACUAUAUUUAUUUUUCAUUACAAAUAUUUGUGCUGUAAAAAACAAAAUAAUAUUUUCAAUUCACCUAAUAUAAGUACUGUAGUGCAAUUUCUUUAUCAUCAAAGUUGAACAUACAAAUGUCGAACUAUGUACAAAAAAACAACUGCAUUCAAAAAUAAAACAAUGUACAACUUUAGAGCCUACAAGUCCACUUGGUCCUACUUCAGCCAAAUCCUCAGACAAACAAGUUCGGUUACAUUUGCAGGAGACAAUGCUGCCCACUUCUUGUUUACAAUGUCACCUGAAAGUGAGAACAGGCGUUCGCAUGGCACUGUUGUAGCCAGUGUUGCAAGAUAUUUACGUGCCAGAUGUGUUAAAGAUUCAUAUGUCCCUUCACGCUUCAACCACCAUUCCAGAGGAUAUGCAUCCAUGCUGAUGACAGGUUCUGCUCGAUAACGAUCCAAAACGGAGCAGACUGAUGCAUGUCCAUUUUCAUCAUCUGAGUCAUAUGACACCAGCAGAAAGUUGAUUUUCUUUUUUGGUGGUUCAGGUUCUGUAGUUUCUGCAUCUGGGUGUUGCUCUUUUAAGACUUCUGAAACCAUGCUGCACACCUCAUCACUCUCAGAUUUUGGACAGCACUUCAGAGUCUUAAACCUUGGGUCAAGUGCUGCAGCUAUUUUUAGAAAUCUCACAUUGGUACCUUCUUUGCAUUUUGUCAGAUCUGCAGUGACAGUGUUCAUAAAUCAAACAACACGUGCUGGGUCAUCAUCCGAGACUGCUAUAACACAAAAUAUAUGGCAGAAUGCGAGUAAAACAGAGCAGGGGACAUACAAUUCUCCCUGAAGGAGUUCAGUCACAAAUGUAAUUAACACACUAUUUUUUUAAUGAUCAUCAUCAGCAUGGAAGCAUGUCCUCUGGAAUGGUGGCUGAAGCAUGAAGGGAUACACA